CUGCAGCCAAUUAAACCGAUGUUGCUUCCUUCCCCAUGGGGGCCCGGUAUGCAGUGACUACAAAGGUAGCCUUCCCGGUGUCAAAGCCUAUAUAAGGGACCUUGGAGACAACC
rfam:Tupaia chinensis contig79886, whole genome shotgun sequence.